AAAAUUAAAAUUGACAAAAGAGAAAAAAAUGAACUGAAAACAAUUUACAAUAUGCUCUCGUUAUCAAAUUAAUAUUGUAAAGUGGGGAGUUUGUUAGAUAUUAUCGGAAAAUACUUACACACGUUAUUAAAUGAAUAAGUUGUGAUAAAUGUUGACGAUCGUGUUGCGUUUUAUAUUUCAAUUUCAAGUUCAUGUUUAAAAUUUCAAUAAAAUAAAAAUGUAGUAGAUGCAGUUUCUGAAGACUAUUUUGAUCACCGUCGCUGCUCGAGUUGGCUUAACAUAAGAGUAUCCGAAUUUGGAGAGGAGUAUUUUCACAUCAAUGGCAAUUGCUGGCAGCAUUUUAGAAUUUUCGUUAGUCAACCGCCUUUGAAGGAUGGAAAAUGAAGCAGUAUCUAGGCCCAUUGAAAAUCAUGUUGAACCGUGUCAUUAUGUGCUGGAAAUGCAUGCGCAACACUUUUACGAAUACACUUAUUUUGCGAUACUAAUUAAGCUUGGCUGUGUGCUUUCAAACAUUUUGCUGUUGAUUCAUUUUUACAAAUAUUUUAGACAUUAUUCUACUCAAGCGGUGCCCGCAAAAAAUUUAAAUUCUUAUUGCUUAUAUAUAUUUUUAACGAAUUCAGUUUUCCUCCUAGAAUAUACCCCAUUACCAGAAUUGUCACCCAUCAGUUUUGUUUUUGUUUUCGCUUACUUACGUUUAUCGUCGUCAUUUCUAUCUCUUAUUAUGAUCUCAGAUACAUGUAUGUGUUUUAGAAAAACAGCCUUGUACUUCCGACCUACUGUCAAUUCGGGCAGACAAGUCAAACACUUGAUUUAUACUAUUCUCGGAAAAGGCUUACCUUUAGUUAUUACCGUAUUAAUUUCUACGGUAUUUUAUUUCUAUAAAAGUUGUAGUUUUGUUCGUUUAACUUUAUUGAUAAUUAAUACCGCGGUUCGAAUACUUUGCCUGGGUUUAUUUUUCGUUUCAUUACGAUACAUCGUGAUGAGCAGUAUUCAGAAAACUAGGAUGUUGACAAAUUUCCCAUUACUUGUUCGUUUGCUGUUGAUGACUGGUAUUCUUCCUGCGAUUCCUUACAUUUCUUACGGAAUUUAUCUACUACUCAAUCUUCACCGUGGUUACAACUACCCGACCAUCUGUGUAUUUGGUUGCAUAAUGAAGUUUUGCUUAUCCUACGAAGGGAUUCUUUUUGCAAUGUGUUUCACGUUUAAAAAAAAUUUACAUAGAAUUCGAAUGAGAUCGAUGUCAAUGAUUUCAAUAAGCGUUAUAAAUAUUCAGCAAAAUGUUAUUCAUAAAGUAUGAAAAAAAUGUAGGUAUCUAAUGUAGGUAUCUACCUAUGUAAAUAAGCUUGGAAGAUAACUAUUAUUGUUUUUGUUAAUAAAUAAAAAUUGGU